rnacentral:rRNA from 1 species
GACGAACGCUGGCGGCGUGCCUAAUACAUGCAAGUCGAACGCAUUUUCUUUCACCGUAGCUUGCUACACCGAAAGAAAAUGAGUGGCGAACGGGUGAGUAACACGUGGGUAACCUGCCCAUCAGCGGGGGAUAACACUUGGAAACAGGUGCUAAUACCGCAUAAUUCCAUUUACCGCAUGGUAGAUGGAUGAAAGGCGCUUUUGCGUCACUGAUGGAUGGACCCGCGGUGCAUUAGCUAGUUGGUGGGGUAACGGCCUACCAAGGYUGCGAUGCAUAGCCGACCUGAGAGGGUGAUCGGCCACACUGGGACUGAGACACGGCCCAGACUCCUACGGGAGGCAGCAGUAGGGAAUCUUCGGCAAUGGACGCAAGUCUGACCGAGCAACGCCGCGUGAGUGAAGAAGGUUUUCGGAUCGUAAAACUCUGUUGUUAGAGAAGAACAAGGAUGAGAGUGGAAAGUUCAUCCCUGACGGUAUUAACCAGAAA